AGCAGCCGCGGUAAUUCCAGCUCCAAUAGCGUAUAUUAAAGUUGUUGACAGUUAAAAAGCUCGUAGUUGAAUUUCGGGGUUAAUAAGUUGGUCGUACCUAUGGUAUGUACUGGCUUUAUUGAUUCCUACCUCUUGACGAACUGUGAUGCCAUUAAUUUGGUGUUGCAAGGAAUCAGGACUGUUACCUUGAAAAAUUGAGUGUUUAAAGCAGGCUUACGCUUGAAUACAUUAGCAUGGAAUAAUGAAAUAGGACGUUUGAACCUAUUUUGUUGGUUUCUAGGAUCGACGUAAUGAUUAAUAGGGAUAGUUGGGGCAUUAGUAUUCAAUUGUCAGAGGUGAAAUUCUGGAUUUA
rnacentral:rRNA from 1 species